UUGGGCACACAGAAGAAGAAUAAAGCUUCCUGAUAGAUGCUAAAGAAGCUCAACUUGUAUGUCUCGUCUUUUCUAUAACAGUUCUGGAUCACAAAGAGAGCAGCUGCCUGACAUCCAUCAGCCCCCCAGCCUCAGAGGGUCAGAGCGGCUCUGAAGGCAAGGCUGACAUUUCCUCCAGCUGAGAGAGGAAGACAAGUUCUGCCGUACUGAACCCAGAGCAGAAACUCAAGUUGUUCAAAAAAAAAUGCAAAAGCAAGACUCUGCAGUUAUAAUGGUCUCCACAGGACCUGGACCCGAAAUAAAGAAGAGGAGGAUUCAGUGGACAGCAACAAAACAAGCCACAGGACUGGAAGCUGAUUUUGUUUGGGGACAUUGGUAUGCAUGAAAAAUGGACAAUAGCAGAAAUUAUUGUUCUAUUUUUGACAUCAAAAUUAAACUCCUUUGACAUUUUUUCCUGGUUCCGGCCUGCUCCCUAGUCAUACGUGUCCUUCACAUCUAAAAUAUGAAAGAACAGCCCAAAAAUAGGCGCGACAGGAGCCCUUUGAGUUAAAUGGACUUUAGACAUGAAGAAUGAUGUGAACUGAUUGGGACGAAGAGCAUGAGACAGUAUGUCACACAAAGUAAAACAAAGAAGUCUCUUAGGCUUAACAUAAAGCGCAUUUUAUUGAUUAGGCUCUUUUUUCACAAGAUGACACAAUUUUCCAAGGCUUGGGUGAAAUUUGAUGAAAAUGGUUGGAUAAAAAAAAAUUACAGCACCAUAACCAUAGAGACUUUUUUAAUGCUACUUUCUUCACAACUGAUGUUACUGGGUGCCAUUUGGCUUUAUUCGUCUGCCAUGUCUUGCAUAUCACAUAAUAUGUUUUGUAAGUUUUUCUCAAUAAUUACCAAUAAAUCUUUAAUCUGUGUCACAACA